rnacentral:rRNA from 1 species
UACGUAGGGUGCGAGCGUUAAUCGGAAUUACUGGGCGUAAAGCGUGCGCAGGCGGUUUUGUAAGUCAGAUGUGAAAUCCCCGGGCUCAACCUGGGAACUGCGUUUGAAACUACAAGGCUAGAGUGUAGCAGAGGGGGGUAGAAUUCCACGUGUAGCAGUGAAAUGCGUAGAGAUGUGGAGGAAUACCAAUGGCGAAGGCAGCCCCCUGGGUUAACACUGACGCUCAUGCACCGAAAGCGUGGGGAGCAAACAGG